rnacentral:lncRNA from 1 species
UAUUGAGUAUAUUCUUUGAACCAACCAUCCCUAGCGCAAGUGGUAAAGGACUUAGGCUUCGUUUGGGAUUGCGGAAAGAUUGCGUUACGUGCGGUGAGAAAGUACGUUGAAAAAAUAUCUUGUCUGUUUCCGUACGUAAUAUUGCAUUCCACAUAUCAUGAUGAGUCGAUUACGAUAUAUUUUCUGUGGUCCCACCGAAGAACGCAAAAAUAUAUCUCUAUAUAUUUUUUCCUCAACUCCAUUUUAUCUAAUAGCGUUUGAUAGACCUCAAUAUCAAACUAAGCCUUAGUGGUUAGUACUUGAGGUUUCAAAUUUGAAUUUUAAUUGAUUCAUGUUUUCAGAUAAAUUUAUUUUUAAAAGAAAUAAACGAAAUGGGUAACAUACUAUUUUCUCCUC